GGGCCAAAGGCAGGCGCUAAACCACUGUGCCACCCAGGGAUCCCUAUCCUGUAAAAUUAAAUGAGGCUGGAAUGAGCAGGAUGGCUGUGAAAAUCAAUAAAUAGGCAUCUGGCUGGCUUGGCUGAUGGAGCAUGCGGCUCUUGGUCUCAGGGUGAUUUUAUUUAUUCACCUGACAGAGAGAACACAAGCAGGGGGAGCGGCAGGCAGAGGCUGAGGGAGAAGCAGACCCCCACAGAGCAGGAGGCCCAAUGCAUGGGAGGCUGAUCCCAGGACCUCAGGAUCAUGACCUGAGCCGAAGGCAGAUGCUAACCAGGUGAGGAGAGAAAGCUCGGGAAGGUUGGGCUGCCCAAGCCACAUAGCCAGGAAAUGCUGAGACUCAAGCCUAGGCUUCAGGAUUCAGGAUCCAGGAUCCAGGAUCCAGGGGCAGCCCGGGUGGCUCAGCAGUUUAGCGCCGCCUUCAGCCCAGGGCCUGAUCCUGGAGUCCUGGGAUCGAGUCCCACAUCAGGCUCCCUGC